AUUCCCAAGAUGCUGUGCAGUGAGCUCCCGCGAGGCUCCACGCGGCCGUAGUCGACGCCGCGGAGGGGACGCGUGGGAGUGACGGUGUCUGUCGCGGGAGGUCCCCGCAGGGUUGUGGGGCGAUGGGUCAGCUUCUCGCAGCGUGCGGCCCCGCUCCGGGCCAGGCCGCGCUCGCUCCGGGAGACCCUCCGGCCCGCCAGGCGCCGCCUGCCGGGAUCCUCCCGAACUCCUGAUGAGCAGGUAGGGUCCCGAUUGCUUGGCAGGGUGAUGGGGAGUGAGAAAACAGUGCAGGGGGCCUUCCUAGGGCACCGCUGCCCCGUGGGAGGGGGCACGAGUUGUCUGAUAGAGAAUAACUAACACUGACCUAGUCAACGUGAGAGCCGUCUCCACCAACCCCUCCCAAGAGUGCGAUAUGGUUUUGCCCCGGCCUUCUCCCCCGGCGCUCGCUCCUCCGCCCGUAACCCUCCGGCUUCUGCCCCGCCGGCGCUUCGGAGAUUUCUGAGCUUCUUAGGGGACAUGUUUCGGGCCUUCACUUAAGGUACGGGCCGUCUGCGGCAGCAUUGGAACGUCUGUUGAGAUUUCCGCCUGGUAUUCGUUUCCGUGAUGGUAGUCGUGCUUCCUUUCCCGUGCGUGGGUUUCCUUCUCGGAUCAGACCCUUCCCCGGUGUUCUUGUCCUCUGCGUUCCUUCAACUGGUAACUUCAGCCAUCGCCUGAAUGCUUCAAUUCCUUGAGGACACAGCUCCCUCCCGAGCACCAGGGCACCUGCUUCGCGGACACGGCCCUUUGCAAUCCCUGCAGUGAUCUCAGACUCCACACCUUCCACCACAAGGUUGCACCUUCCUCCUGUGCUCCUGACCUCACCGAAGGAUAACGUUCACCCAGCUGUCAGGCUCCAAACCUAGGGGUCCUGCUUCAGUUCGUCCUCUUCGCGUUCCUAAGAGGUUAUUAAGUCAUUUAUCUUCUCCGUAUCGCAUCCCUAAAUUACCGCGGCUGCCCCAUUACACUGCAAUCCAUCUGUAUUACCACCGGGGCCAUCUUUUCAAACCUGACCAUGAAGAAAACCUAUUUAGGAGCCUACAAAAAGCAACAAUUUGGAUUGAGGAUAUAUUCAAGGAAUAAAAUCGGAAGGCCAGACAGAACUGACAGAAAACACUCCAUCCCUGAAAGAAAAGCAGGACGCUGAAAGUGAAUAGAAUCUCCUGAAAGUGAGUAAGACAAUAUAUAAACAUAAUCAUCAAUUGUAAUUUCAUCGAUUCUCUAUAUUCUUUUCUGUAGUAACAGAGUAAUCAGAAUAUUGUAUCAGCAGGGCUUGGCCAGCAGCAUAUUAUUAAAAAAUGCAAGUAAACUGCAGGCUGACCCCAGUUCAGGCAGUCCUCAUGGACUAGAAUGGGAGUGCCUGACUGAUUCCAAAGCCACAGCCUAGAAUAAGGGCCACGUGUCCUCGGAUCAGCUAUCAUCUAUCAUAUGAUAGAUCUUUUAAAUGUUACUAAGGUACACUGGAUAUAGAAUAAACGGCACAUAUUUAAAACGGACGUAUUAGAAAAGUUUUGAUCUACGUAUACACCCGCGAAACCAUCACAAUGGACAUAAUGAACGUGUCCAUCACCCAAAAAUGUUUCCUGGGACUGCUUUGUAAUCAAUCCCUCCCCUUCCCCAAGUAACCACAUUAGAUGAGUUCGAAUUUCCUAGCAUUUUGUAUAAAUGGAAACAUACGAUAUGUAUUUUUUUCUGUCUGGUUGCUUUUUCUCAGCAUCAUUAUCUUGAGAUUCAUUCGUGUUGUUGCAUAGAUAAAUACAUUUCUUUUCAUUGGUGAAUAAUAUUCCAUUGUGUGGAUAUGCCACAGCGUAUCCAUUCACCCAGUAAUGGAUGAAUUUGGGUUGUUUCAAGUUGGGGCUAUUUUACCUAAAGCUGCUAUGCAUGUGUACGUAUAUCUUUCAUGGAUGUAUGAUUUCCGUUGGGGAAACGCCUGGCAACAAAGAAACUGGAAGAUACAGUAAGUGUGCAUUUAAUUUCCAA